AUACGGAGGAUGCAAGCGUUAUCCGGAUUUAUUGGGUUUAAAGGGAGCGCAGGCGGAGAUGCAAGCGUGACGUCAAAUUUCGGGGCUCAACCCCGUCUCGCGUCGCGAACUGCGUCCCUUGGUUGCGGGAAGGGGAGGCGGAACUCGUGGUGUAGCGGGGAAAUGCAUAGAUAUCACGAAGAACUCCGAUCGCGAAGGCAGCCUUCCGGCCCGUCAACGACGCUCAUGCUCGAAGGUGCGGGUAUCAAACAGGAUUAGAUACCCUGGUAGUCCGCACAGUAAACGAUGGACACCCGCGGUUUGGCCUGUAUGGCUGAGCCGCCAAGCGAAAGCGUUAAGUGUCCCACCUGGGGAGUACGCCGGCAACGGUGAAACUCAAAUGAAUUGGCGGGG
rnacentral:rRNA from 1 species